CUCUCGCUCGCUCUCUCGGGCGCCGCUGCUGCUGCUGCUGCCGCUGCUGCCGGCCUCCUCCUCCUCCUCCUCCUCCUCCUCCUCCUCCGCCCGAGGGAGGGAAGGGGCACCACCACCGGGGCCGCGGGGCUGGCGGGCGACCAGGACGAGCCGGGCAGGCGGAGAAAGGAGACACCUCAGCAGCCAGGUUGACCUGGGACAGCCCUGAAGGGAGUUAUACUAAGUGGCCCACGUGGUGCUGACAGACCCCCGGUGUGUGCAGGCUGCCACUAAGGCCACGGCAGCUUGGCCAGCUCUGUGAUCCUCUGAAGAUGCCAGCCACAGAUGCAGGUGAAACGUCAGGAGAAAAUGCUACUGGAACACGGCCAUACAACCUGGGAAACCCACAACACCCCGGUGAUUCCAACCAUGAAAGCUUUCGACAAUCCAUAGGGGCUGCUUGAAUCCGCUUCCCCCUGCUCACCAGUGGGCAUCCGGUGAAGCAGCCCAGAAGGAACUUUCCUGGUGAAUUAAAGCACUUGCCAACCCG